rnacentral:rRNA from 1 species
AACGAACGCUGGCGGCAUGCCUAACACAUGCAAGUCGAACGAGACCUUCGGGUCUAGUGGCGCACGGGUGCGUAACGCGUGGGAACCUGCCCUUAGGUUCGGAAUAACUCCCCGAAAGGGGUGCUAAUACCGGAUAAUGUCUUCGGACCAAAGAUUUAUCGCCUUUGGAUGGGCCCGCGUUGGAUUAGCUAGUUGGUAGGGUAAAAGCCUACCAAGGCGACGAUCCAUAGCUGGUCUGAGAGGAUGAUCAGCCACACUGGGACUGAGACACGGCCCAGACUCCUCGGGGGGGAAGCAGGGGGGAAUUUUGGAAAAGGGGGGAAAGCCUGACCCCGCAAGGCCGGGUGGGUGAUGAAGGCCUUAGGGUUGUAAAGCUCUUUUACCCGGGAUGAUAAGGACAGGACCGGGGGAAUAAGCCCCGGCUACCUCCGU